UACAGGGGGUGCAAACGUUGCUCGGAAUCAUUGGGCGUAAAGCGCACGUAGGCGGUUCGUUAUGUCGGAUGUGAAAGCCCUUGGCUUAACCGAGGAAGUGCAUCCGAAACUGGCGAGCUAGAGCACUAAAGAGGAUCGCGGAAUUCCCGGUGUAGAGGUGAAAUUCGUAGAUAUCGGGAGGAACACCGGUGGCGAAGGCGGCCCGCUGGGCAACUGCUGACACUGAGGCGCGACAGCGUGGGGAGCAAACAGG
rnacentral:rRNA from 1 species